AAUGUGUAUAAAUCUUACAGUGCAGUUUUGAUUCAUUAUUCCCUAUAUCGAAAGUGUAGCAGAUUAAAAAUCAUGUUUUAUAUGCUCUCCGAUGAAGGUUGUAUACUCCAACAUCUUCCAAUAUAUAAUAUGUGUAUCGUUUGAAACAUAUUACAAUCUCAAUAAAACAAUUAUGGUUGUAGAAAAGGAAACUUGGAGAUUUUAAAAAAUAUUAUAAAUUUGAUAUAAUACCAUCGACAGAGGCAAUUGUGCUGAAAUCGUUAUUAGAAUCAUGAAUUUUAUUUACAAAGGCACUGCUAUCUAAUGGACACAUUUGGGACGAGGAGUAAAAAUUUAGAUAAUCCUAAUAAGUUAUAUUAAGUACAUUUAAAUGAUCAAUUUGAAAUGGGUUAACUAUGCCUUCGAUAUCCACUGUAUACAUUUACUUCUUGGUGAUACGUUUUGUAGUUUGAUGUCGACCAUUAUUUUGUAUUGGCUCUCAGGCUCUGUUGCGCAUUACUUAAUAUUAAAAUAAACGUUUUUAAUAAAAAUUUGUUACAUAAAGUUACAAGAACACGAACAACUACAUAAGUACAUAUUUAUAAACAUGUUUUUAAGAAACUAAAACACAAAAUGAUCUCUUAAAUUAUAGACAAAUAUUUUUUAAAGAUACUUAUAUAUAAUAUUUGAAACUUUUUAUUCCGUCCUUAUUUUCAUUUAUUUUGUUUUAGAAAGAAAAUUGUGUAAAUUAAUACAUAAUUAUGUAUGCGUGUAUAUAAAUACAUUCUGUAAAUAUAUUAUUAGACUUCUUUAAGUGUUUUAAACGUUUAUAAAGUUGUACUAAAUAAAUUAAA